UUACGGUCAUAUCAUGUUGAAACGCCGAUCAGCGUACGAUCGCCAAAGUUAAGCAACGUCAAGCUUGGUCAGUACCUAGAUGGGUGUUCGCUUGGGAAUACCAGGUGCUGUAAGC